GCCCUGCGCCCCAGUUUGGGAGUGAAACUAGACUCUGAGAACCAGGGGCAGGUCUGUGUUUUGUUUAGAAAGGAGAGUAGCUCUGAUAUGAAAGAUGUAAUGAGGUUAGAAGUCUAGAAGGAAGCGGAGUGGGAAUAGAUUAUCCGGGGGAAGAAAGGCAUUCACCGGAGAGCAGGCUGAUAUUAAGUAUCAGGCUUCCAGGCCAAAUAUACAAGGCUCCGAAGUCCGCAUUGCCUGUUGCCCCACACUGUGGUUGGAGGGGACAAAACUGUCCUCGUGGGGGCUCCCAACUGUCACAAAGAUUGGGGCACUAUGUGCUGGGGGCCAGUCCUCAAGGGAGCACUGCCCAGC
rnacentral:lncRNA from 1 species